rnacentral:rRNA from 1 species
GUGGGGAAUCUUGCGCAAUGGGCGAAAGCCUGACGCAGCCAUGCCGCGUGGAUGAUGAAGGUCUUAGGAUUGUAAAAUCCUUUCACCGGUGAAGAUAAUGACUGUAGCCGGAGAAGAAGCCCCGGCUAACUUCGUGCCAGCAGCCGCGGUAAUACGAAGGGGGCUAGCGUUGCUCGGAUUUACUGGGCGUAAAGGGCGCGUAGGCGGACAUUUAAGUCAGGGGUGAAAUCCCGGGGCUCAACCUCGGAACUGCCUUUGAUACUGGAUGUCUUGAGUGUGAGAGAGGUGUGUGGAACUCCGAGUGUAGAGGUGAAAUUCGUAGAUAUUCGGAAGAACACCAGUGGCGAAGGCGACACACUGGCUCAUUACUGACGCUGAGGCGCGAAAGCGUGGGGAGCAAACAGGAUUAGAAACCCGUGUAGUCC